CCUACGGGAGGCAGCAGUGAGGAAUCUUCCACAAUGGGCGAAAGCCUGAUGGAGCGACACCGCGUGAAGGAUGAAGGUCUAACGAUUGUAAACUUCUUUUCUGGGGGAGCAUAAUGAGAGUACCCCAGGAAUAAGGGACGGCAAAUCACGUGCCAGCAGCCGCGGUAAUACGUGAGUCCCAAGCAUUAUCCGGAAUUACUGGGUGUAAAGGGUUUGUAGGCGGAUUUUUAAGUUGAAUAUGAAAGACCGAAGCUCAACUUCGUGUUGGUAUUCAAAACUGGAGAUCUAGAAUUAGGGAGAGGUAAGCGGAAUUCUAAGUGUAGGGGUGCAAUCCGUAGAUACUUAGAAGAACACCAAAAGCGAAGGCAGCUUACUGGAACUAUAUUGACGCUAAUGAACGAAAGCGUGGGGAGCAAAAAGGAUUAGAUACCCUUGUAGUCCACGCCCUAAACGAUGGACACUGGUUGCUUGAAGUGUCGACCCUUCAAGUGGCGAAGCUAACGCGUUAAGUAUCCCGCCUGGGAAGUACGGCCGCAAGGCUAAAACUCAAAGGAAUAGACGGGGACCCACACAAGCGGUGGAGCAUGUGGCUUAAUUCGACAGUAAGCGAGGAACCUUACCAGGGCUUGACAGGGUAUUGAAAGCUAUAAGAAAUUAUAGCCCACCCACAAGGACACUACCCCAGGUGCUGCAUGGUUGUCGUCAGCAGGUGGCUUGAGUUGCUCCCUUAAAUGGGGUAACCUGCGCAACCCUUGCUCUAUGUUUUAUAUGUCAUAGAGGACUGCCCGGGACAACCGGGAGGAAGGUGAGGAUGACGCCAAAUCAGCAUGGCCUUUUGAUGCCCUGGGCUGCACACGUGAUACAAUGGAACUGACAAAGGGUCGCCAAGCCGUAAGGCGGAGCCAAUCCCAUCAAACAGUUCCCCAAUUCGGAUUGAGGUCUGAAACCCGACCUCAUGAAGCCGGAAUCGCUAGUAACCGCAGAUCAGCCACGCUGCGGUGAAUAUGUCCCUGGGUCUUGUACUCACCGCCCGUCACGUCAAGCGAGUUGGGAAUGCCCGAAGUUUCAUUUAUGGACCUAAGGCAGGCUCAAUGAGAGGGACGAAGUCGUAACAAGGCACGGGUAGCGGAAGCUGCUCGUG
rnacentral:rRNA from 1 species